rnacentral:rRNA from 1 species
GCCCUACUCUAGCCCACUCAUCAUAAACAUAUGUCCUAUGAUAAAAAGUCAUUUUCACACAAAAAUCAAAGCAUUUUAGUACCCUAGUAUGGGCGACAGAAAAGGUUAACUCUAACUGGAGCUAUAGAGAUCUUACGUACCGUAAGGGAAAGAUGAAAUAGAAGUGAAAAACUGAAGCAGUAAAUAGCAAAGACAAGCCCUUAUACCUUUUGCAUCAUGAUCUAGCAAGAAAAACCAAGCCAAACGAAUUUAAGCUUGUCCUCCCGAAACCUAGGCGAGCUACCUGCAAGCAGCUAUUUUUGAGCCAACCCGUCUCUGUUGCAAAAGAGUGGGAUGACUUGUCGGUAGUGGUGAAAAGCCAAUCGAGCUGGGUGAUAGCUGGUUACCUGUGAAACGAAUCUUAGUUCCCUCCUGAUUUCUCUCACACGGACAACUAACUUCUUAAUCCACCCAUGUAGCUAUCAGGCGAUACUUAAAGGAGGUACAGCUCCUUUAAAGAGAAUACAAUCUUCACAAGAGGAUAAAAUACCAAAAAUUUACCCAUAUUCUCGUAGGCCUUCAAGCAGCCAUCAACAAAGAGUGCGUCAAAGCUCUAAUUCAAAAAUACACAGACAACAUGACUCCCUCCCUACCAACAGGUUAAUCUAUCAUUUUAUAGAAGAAUCAAUGCUAAAAUGAGUAACUUAGGGACCCUCCCUCUAACGGCACAAACUUAUAUUCUACAUCAUUAACAGCCCUGCAAAUAACCAUAAUCCCUCUUACUAGACAUGGUAUUAGAUACUCUGUUAACCCAACCCAGGAGUGCCCAGGAGAAGAUUAAAAUCUGUAAAAGGAACUAGGCAAGCCCAAGGCCCGACUGUUUACCAAAAACAUAGCCUUCAGCAGAACCAAGUAUUGAAGGUGAUGCCUGCCCAGUGACCAAGUGUUCAACGGCCGCGGUAUCCUAACCGUGCAAAGGUAGCGCAAUCAAUUGUCCCAUAAAUCGAGACCUGUAUGAAUGGCUAAACGAGGUCUUAACUGUCUCUUACAGAUAAUCAGUGAAAUUGAUCUCCCUGUGUAAAAGCAGGGAUAACCCCAUAAGACGAGAAGACCCUGUGGAACUUUAAAAUCAGCGGCUACCCACGACCAAACAAUUCCCUACUCAGGCUCACAUCCAGACACGCUAGCUCGCAUUUUUUCGGUUGGGGCGACCUUGGAGAAAAAUAGAUCCUCCAAAAAUAGGACCAGACCUCUUAACCAAGACUUACACUUCAACGUACUAAUAGUAACCAGACCCAAUACAAUUGAUUAAUGAACCAAGCUACCCCAGGGAUAACAGCGCUAUCCCCUUCAAGAGCCCAUAUCGACAAGGGGGUUUACGACCUCGAUGUUGGAUCAGGACAUCCUAAUGGUGCAGCCGCUAUUAAGGGUUCGUUUGUUCAACGAUUAACAGUCCUACGUGAUCUGAGUUCAGACCGGAGUAAUCCAGGUCGGUUUCUAUCUAUGAUCAACUUUUCCUAGUACGAAAGGACCGGGAAAGUAAGGCCAAUAUACCAACUCCACGCCUUCCCCAAAAGUAAUGACAACAUCUUAAUUACCUAAGGGUUACUCACUCCUACAUCCUAGAAAAGGACCCAG